GACAUUAGUGAUUCCCCUACUAACAAUCUAGCAAUGUUCUCGAUUUUAUUAUUUAUGGUCGAAGUAGCUAUCAACGGCAGAGGAAGUUGCUAGCACUAUCUAACGACUCUGUUUGUAUUAGUGUCCUCUGCACACUGCGCCUCUAGGAAAGGCUCAACUCAAUCCCAACAUGGUUCUCUGUAACUGGACGAAUUCGGUUUUAGAACUUCCCUCUCUUUUGGCUAUUGAUGACCAGUCUUGACUUCAGGCGGUUCCACCACUAGGGGGUAAUAAAAAGCACUGUUGGGGUUCCGGCCAAGCGAGCAUCUCAAUACAAUACCCAACUUUCUGUUUAAGCCCACUUUAUUGACUGAUAGUUUAUCUUCCGAACCGGUUAAAGACCUAGCCACGAGACCAACUCCGGCUCCGGGCAGUCGUAAAAAAAAAGAUCAAUUCCCAGAUGCUCUUCCUCGACGUCCCACAGCGCAUUCAAUGGCAAACAAAGCACCGGGGAAUUUCAUUCUAACAACAGCGGAUGCGUUGAGGAGACCAAGAGCGUCUAGAGCUUCUAUUGCACCUGCACCAACAGCUUAUUCUCAUACUCCCACACCGGUUACUGGUUGACCGGAUACGAGAACUCUUGUACCGGGAAUUCAACUAACUGCUGAUUCCGG
rnacentral:misc_RNA from 1 species